rnacentral:rRNA from 1 species
AACGUAGGAGACGAGCGUUAUCCGGAUUUACUGGGCGUAAAGCGUGUGCAGGCGGUUCGGCAAGUUGGAUGUGAAAUCUCCCGGCUCAACUGGGAGGGGUCGUUCAAUACUACCGAACUUGAGGUCAUCAGAGGAAGAUGGAAUUCCCGGUGUAGUGGUGAAAUGCGUAGAUAUCGGGAGGAACACCAGUGGCGAAGGCGACACGCUGGGCCGUACCUGACGCUAAAGCGCGACAGCAUGGGGAGCAAACGGG